CCUACGGGAGGCUGCAGUGGGGAAUAUUGGGCAAUGGGCGCAAGCCUGAACCAGCAAAGCCGCGUGAAGGAAGAAGGCUUUCGGGUUGUACACCUCUUUUAAGAGGGGAGUGCAGUAGACGGUAUCUCUUGAAUAAGCUACGGCUAACUACGUGCCAGCGGCAGCGGUAGUACGUAGGUGGCAAGCGUUGUCCGGAUUUACUGGGUGUACAGGGCGUGUAGCCGGGCUGACAAGUCAGAUGUGAAAUUCCGGGGCUCAACCCCGGACCUGCAUUUGAAACUGUUGGUCUUGAGUAUCGGAGAGGCAGGCGGAAUUCCUGGUGUAGCGGUGAAAUGCGUAGAUAUUAGGAGGAACACCAGUGGCGAAGGCGGCCUGCUGGACGACAACUGACGGUGAGGCGCGAAAGCGUGGGGAGCAAACAGGAUUAGAUACCCCUGUAGUC
rnacentral:rRNA from 1 species